UCCUUGUAUAUUAAAAAUGUCACGGACAGCCGCCACCAAUUCGGUUACCAUGGUGGAAAGCUUAGGCAGGGGUUCCCGCUCCGUGACUUCGUCCGAUCCGGACAAUUCCCCUUCGGAUUUGCGCUCCCUGAGAGAGGGAGAGUCAACCGGGCAUGCCUCAAGGCGGGGGGGAGAAGCGGAGUCAUCCGAGGAGGAAUGCUGCCGCUCACGCUGCCUCUUAGAUGUCAGACGCCCUCUGUGAUAAUCACUGAGAGGAGAUGGAGUGGUGGAUGCCACUGGAGUAGUAGCUGCCAUGCGCUCCAUAAAGGACAUGGCUGCCUUGGCAACUAAGGCCAGAUCCGCUGCCGCACUAGACAUGGCGGAAGCCCAGGCGGGUACCGCUGGUUCCGCAGGGGCAGAGGGGGGACCGGGCUGAGCAAGAGAAGGAGGCUGAUCCUGUCCAGGAGCAGGGCACGAGUCACAGGAACCAGUGACAGAAAAAGGCAGAAGGCACACCUUACAUGACCCCAGUGGAGCCUGAGAGGAGGCCUUGGAAGACUUAGGGGCCCCAGGUUUUGGCAUGAUGGAUUCCAAAGAGUAAAAGAUUUCCUACCAGUUGCUGCAAGGACAGCUGAAAGUCCUACCACCCAGGCAACAGCAGAAGUCUCCGGCGUAGAGAAGCAAGGAGCUGCACAGCCGCAAUCUAGCAGAGUCUCCGGCGUAGGGAGAGUCAGAGCGGGACGCCGAGGCUCCGCCCCCUCGAACGCGUCAUCGCGGCGCGAAAUAAGCGUGCGUGCAA